GAUUUUGGCUCAGGACGAACGCUGGCGGCGCGCCUAACGCAUGCAAGUCAAACGAGCGAGAGAGAACUUGCUUUCUCGAGCGAGUGGCGAACGGGUGAGUAACGCGUGAGGAACCUGCCUCAAAGAGGGGGACAACAGCUGGAAACGACUGCUAAUACCGCAUAAGCCCACGGCUCGGCAUCGAGCAGAGGGAAAAGGGCAGUCCGCUUUGAGAUGGCCUCGCGUCCGAUUAGCUAGUUGGUGAGGUAACGGCCCACCAAGACGACGAUCGGUAGCCGGACUGAGAGGUUGAACGGCCACAUUGGGACUGAGACACGGCCCAGACUCCUACGGGAGGCAGCAGUGGGGAAUAUUGCACAAUGGGGGAAACCCUGAUGCAGCGACGCCGCGUGGAGGAAGAAGGUCUUCGGAUUGUAAACUCCUGUUGUUGAGGAAGAUAAUGACGGUACUCAACAAGGAAGUGACGGCUAACUACGUGCCAGCAGCCGCGGUAAAACGUAGGUCACAAGCGUUGUCCGGAAUUACUGGGUGUAAAGGGAGCGCAGGCGGGAAGACAAGUUGGAAGUGAAAUCCAUGGGCUCAACCCAUGAACUGCUUUCAAAACUGUUUUUCUUGAGUAGUGCAGAGGUAGGCGGAAUUCCCGGUGUAGCGGUGGAAUGCGUAGAUAUCGGGAGGAACACCAGUGGCGAAGGCGGCCUACUGGGCACCAACUGACGCUGAGGCUCGAAAGUGUGGGUAGCAAACAGGAUUAGAUACCCUGGUAGUCCACACUGUAAACGAUGAUUACUAGGUGUUGGAGGAUUGACCCCUUCAGUGCCGCAGUUAACACAAUAAGUAAUCCACCUGGGGAGUACGACCGCAAGGUUGAAACUCAAAGGAAUUGACGGGGGCCCGCACAAGCAGUGGAGUAUGUGGUUUAAUUGGACGCAACGCGAAGAACCUUUCCAAGUCUUGACAUCGUGCGACGGUGCUGGAAACAGUACUUUCCUUUGGGACGCAGAGACAGGUGGUGCAUGGUUGUCGUCAGCUUGUGUCGUGAGAUGUUGGGUUAAGUCCCGCAAUGAGCGCAACCUUUAUGGUCAGUUAGUACGUAAGAGGACUCUGGCCAGAAUGCCGUUGACAAAACGGAGGAAGGUGGGGAUGACGUCAAAUCAUCAUGCCCUUUAUGACUUGGGCUACACACGUACUCCAACGGUGUUAAACAAAGAGAAGCAAGACCGCGAGGUGGAGCAAAACUCAGAAACAACGUCCCAGUUUGGGUUGCAGGAUGCAACUUGCGUGCAAGAAGUCGGAAUUGCUAGUAAUCGCAGAUCAGCAUGAUGCGGUGAAUAAGUUCCCGGCCCUUGCACACACCGCCCGUCA
rnacentral:rRNA from 1 species